AGAGUUUGAUCCUGGCUCAGGAUGAACGCUAGCGGCAGGCUUAACACAUGCAAGUCGAGGGGCAGCAUAAUGGAUAGCAAUAUCUAUGGUGGCGACCGGCGCACGGGUGCGUAACGCGUAUGCAACCUACCUUUAACAGGGGCAUAACACUGAGAAAUUGGUACUAAUACCCCAUAAUAUCAUAGAAGGCAUCUUUUAUGGUUGAAAAUUCCGAUGGUUAGAGAUGGGCAUGCGUUGUAUUAGCUAGUUGGUGGGGUAACGGCUCACCAAGGCGACGAUACAUAGGGGGACUGAGAGGUUAACCCCCCACACUGGUACUGAGACACGGACCAGACUCCUACGGGAGGCAGCAGUGAGGAAUAUUGGUCAAUGGACGCAAGUCUGAACCAGCCAUGCCGCGUGCAGGAUGACGGCUCUAUGAGUUGUAAACUGCUUUUGUACGAGGGUAAACGCAGAUACGUGUAUCUGUCUGAAAGUAUCGUACGAAUAAGGAUCGGCUAACUCCGUGCCAGCAGCCGCGGUAAUACGGAGGAUUCAAGCGUUAUCCGGAUUUAUUGGGUUUAAAGGGUGCGUAGGCGGUUUGAUAAGUUAGAGGUGAAAUUUCGGGGCUCAACCCUGAACGUGCCUCUAAUACUGUUGAGCUAGAGAGUAGUUGCGGUAGGCGGAAUGUAUGGUGUAGCGGUGAAAUGCUUAGAGAUCAUACAGAACACCGAUUGCGAAGGCAGCUUACCAAACUAUAUCUGACGUUGAGGCACGAAAGCGUGGGGAGCAAACAGGAUUAGAUACCCUGGUAGUCCACGCAGUAAACGAUGAUAACUCGUUGUCGGCGAUACACAGUCGGUGACUAAGCGAAAGCGAUAAGUUAUCCACCUGGGGAGUACGUUCGCAAGAAUGAAACUCAAAGGAAUUGACGGG
rnacentral:rRNA from 1 species